rnacentral:rRNA from 1 species
UACAGAGGGGGCAAGCGUUGUUCGGAAUUACUGGGCGUAAAGGGCGCGUAGGCGGCCGCCUAAGUCAGACGUGAAAUCCCUCGGCUCAACCGGGGAACUGCGUCUGAUACUGGGUGGCUUGAAUCCGGGAGAGGGAUGCGGAAUUCCAGGUGUAGCGGUGAAAUGCGUAGAUAUCUGGAGGAACACCGGUGGCGAAGGCGGCAUCCUGGACCGGCAUUGACGCUGAGACGCGAAAGCCAGGGGAGCAAACGGG